UAUCAUGUACUUUAGGCGGGAAAUUUUAGCAGCUCCCCAUUUCAUUUCCUGCCACUCCCGGCCCUAUAAAUUUCAUUGUUCCAUGCUGCACAGCUUCACCACCCCAUCCUGAGCUUGAUUUCAUUGUUCCAUCCUGCAGUAGGGAAGGUGUUUGACUCACCGCAGGAGGGCUUCGAGUUCUUCAACAUGUAUUCCUGGGAGCUUGGAUUUGGUAUUCGUUACGGGAGUAGUUGUAGCAGCCUUUCCGGCAGGCGCACCAGGCAGGAUAUAGUAUGCGCUUGCAAGGGGCGUGAUCCCUCUUGUGUCGCUCGAUCCACGCGUUGUGGCUGCCUCUGCAUGAUCCGCAUGCUCCGGAAGGACGAUGAUUCUUGGUUCAUCAGCCGGUUUGUUCCUGGGCAUAACCAUCCUAUGUCUGCUAGUUGCGGUGGACACGAGAUCUAGUUAGGAAUCUCAGGGCUAACAAUGUACAGAUUUCUAGGGUCUGUUCAAUUCUAGGCAGCAUGCAUGGGUCCAACCAGUACGUUCCAUUUAGUAGGCAGUCAAUCAGGUCUCUUUGUGGUAGGCUUGCGCAGGAAUCAAUCGAGGGUGAUAUGACCAAGCGAGAUGCAGACCCUGCAAUGCGAGAUGCAGACCCUGCAAUGGUUUUGCGCAUGCAGUUGGACCAGGACAAGAGAGUUAAGUCUCUUUUUUGGUACCAUGGAUCUAGCCGGUUCAACUAUUCUUGUUUUGGCGAUGCAAUCACCUUUGACACAACAUAUCGUACCAAUCUGUACAACCUUCCUUUCGUCCUAUUUGUCGACGACGCUAACCAUCACUUCCAGAGUGUUAUUUUUGGCACUGUACUGCUUCUUACCGAGGAGACAUCUGAUGCUUUCCAGUGGUCGUUCUGCACAUUUGUUGAGGCUAUGGAUGGAGUAUCCCCGAAGACCAUCCUAACAGUGUCAGGCUAUGAAGGCAGCUAGCGAUUGCCACUGAGCUUCCCAAUACCAGGCAUCGAUCGGUAGUGCAAGUGGCAUGUCCUCAAGAAGGCGAAGGAAUCCCUUGGUGACAUAUACAGCAAGAACUUUGCUUUUAAGAGGUCAUUGCAUGAGCUUCUUGAUGAAAUAGUCUCAAUUCCCGAAUUCGAGACUCGUUGGGCAGAUUUGGUUGACAAGUAUGGUUUGGUUGAGAACGAGUUCCUUGGAAGAGCUUACCAGAACAGGCACAUGUGGGCUAAGCCUUAUUUUGCUGAGACGUUUUGUGUUGGCAUGACUAGCACCCAAUGCAGUGAGAGUCCAUUUACACAUACUCAAGACUUAUAUUCCAAGGUCUGCUCCCAUGCAUCUUUUUGUUUCUCAGUAUAACAGGAUGAUUGCAGAUCGUGAUGCUGACGAGGGGAAGGAGGAGCAUGCAAAACAGAUUGGAAGGGUUCUUAAGGGUUGGUGUUCCAAUCGAGGCUCAUGCUGCUCAGGUAUACACCAGGGCUAUGUACGAGAGGUUUUCAAAGGAACUGUUCAAGGCUGGGAAGUUUGGUUGCAUGAAGGAUGGUGAUGAGGGUUACUAAACGGUAAUUUUGCUGGAUAAUGGCCCUUACAUGCAUGGACAAUGGUGUGGUUGAAUUCCAUGUUGGUUCCAACCCAGAUGCAACAGAUUUUUUUCUGCCAAUGCAAGAGGUUUGGACAUUGCGGUAUCCCUUGCCGUCACAUACUCAAGGUAUUGGUCCACCAUGGAUUUUCGGAAAUUCCACCGGGGCUCGUGAUGAAGCGUUGGACUAGGGAUGCCAAAGGCGCCGGUGAUUCAGAGCUUGGCGUUGUUGUUGCUGAGCAGAGGGUUACUGAAUUGGAUUUUGCAGGAAUGAACUCCUUGGUUUAUUCUGCAGCUAUGGAAUUGGUUGGGCUAUCUGCAAGGUCUAGGCAGGCUUUUGAGAUCGGCAUGCAGAUGUCGUGGUCCCUUCUACGUUUAAAUCAAUGUUUUUAUGAGAUCAUUUUAU